rnacentral:rRNA from 1 species
UGAGGAAUAUUGGUCAAUGGGCGCGAGCCUGAACCAGCCAAGUAGCGUGAAGGAUGACUGCCCUACGGGUUGUAAACUUCUUUUAUAAAGGAAUAAAGUGAGGCACGUGUGCCUUUUUGUAUGUACUUUAUGAAUAAGGAUCGGCUAACUCCGUGCCAGCAGCCGCGGUAAUACGGAGGAUCCGAGCGUUAUCCGGAUUUAUUGGGUUUAAAGGGUGCGUAGGUUGUUUUUUGAAGUCAGCGGUGAAAGUUUGUGGCUCAACCAUAAAAUUGCCGUUGAAACUGGAAGACUUGAGUGUGUUUGAGGUAGGCGGAAUGCGUGGUGUAGCGGUGAAAUGCAUAGAUAUCACGAAGAACUCCUAUUGCGAAGGCAGCUCACUAAACUGCAACUGACAUUGAGGCUCGAAAGUGUGGGUAUCAAACAGGAUUAGAUACC